UCACCUCAGUGUGAAUUUGUGCUGUUUAUCAGUUUGUCGCUGUGGUGCAACCCUGUAAUGUGCCCCCCUGCUCAGCUUCCCGUUGGCUGAUUAAAGGAAACAGCUCCAGAUCUGACUUCAUGUUCCUCAGAAGAAAAAGCAGUUUUUUGUUUUUUGCUCAGAGGAAAAGAAAUGGAGGAAAGAAGACGGGAUGUGGAGAUCAGAAGAUCUUCAACAGCAGGAAACAGAAACUUAGAUUGCAUUUACCGUUCGGACAUUUCGUUUCCUUUGUGGUGAUGUGGAUGUUCGGCUCAGGGCCAGGGUUGGUCGACUGGCUGGGUCAUAGCAGUGGAGGCGACUGAAUCCAUCCAUCCAUCCAUCCAUGUUCUUCCUCUUAUCCGGGGUCGGGUCGUGGAGGCAGCAGGAUUCUUUGCUGCUUGAUUUUCUGCCUUUGCUGAAUCUUCAGCUUUGACCUUCGAUGGAGUUUCCAUGCAGAUCAAAUCUGACUCCUGAAGACUUUAAGAAGAAACAUGAACACGUCACAGGAGUCGUGAUGGAGCUGCUGAGGAGGCUUCAACCUCCAUCCCCCAAAAUCAGCUGCUGUGACCCGGGAAGGUCAGAGGUCGCUCAGGGAGGAAGUGACAGAGCAACAGAAAUAGACAGACAGACUGGGUGGGUGAGAGGUCAGGAAGGUGAAGAGGAAUGUGAGAUUUACAGGCUGAGAAGCUCGACUCCACGAGUACCCGACGAGUUCACGACUGGUCUCCUGAAGUCCUGAAAUAACAGAAACGAAGGGAACUCGUCUGCAUCAGUUAAUUAGCUUCAAUAUUAAAACCAGGACAGUGGACCAGCUCUUCAUCACUGAGUCACUGAUACUAAAAUACGAUCAUAGAAAAGUGAGCUGAUUGAAAAUGGCCACAUGUGACCGAUGACUUCAUCAGUGUUAACGUUCGCUUCGUCCCAGUCCCAGCAGGUGUUUUCACAGCUGGGUCACUUACAUCAGUACAGACAAAUAAAUCUUUUUUAUUUUGCAGCAGACAGUCUCUGCACCUUCUUCCUUCCACCAUCUUCUUCUUCCUUCAGGUCGGUCAUUAUCAGACCACGUUUACCUGCAGGAUCCAGAGACCAGACACCAGCGCCCCUCCUCCAUCUGGUUUGUCUCAGCUGGACCUUGAUGCUUUAGCUGGUGUGAAUCUCCCUCCCUCCUCCUCAGGGCCAGCCAUCCCUCUGCAGGUCACUGCACGGGAAGAGUAAAAACUCUUCAUCCUCUGUGUGUGAUUGGAAGUCGUUUUCCUGCUGCACUGAUGUUUUACUCGAUGAAACAGGAAUGAGUCUCAGUGCAGCAGAUAAGAUCAGAUACGUCUUCUACCUUCUCUACACUAGGAAACGAAGUCUGGGACAGUUCUACUCGUUGGACAGGAAGCAGUACUAAUGUACUCCUGUAAGAGUACUUUACCUUUGAUCUGAUGUAUGUUCAUGUUCGACGUGAUGAUUCUGAAUCUUCCGGCUCCAAAAAACUUGAAUGUGAUGAGAAGAGGUGAAGGAAGCAGGUAUGUUUUCCUCCUGCGUUGACUUCCCACCCUCCUCCUCCUCUUACAUCCAUCUAGGCGCUGACCUUUGACCCUGCCCAUCGUGGGAACGUCUUCAGGAGGAUGAGUUGGCGUGACGACCGGGAGGACAUUACCACGGCGAUGAUGAGUCUAACAGAACUCCCAACACCUGUCUGACCCCCCCUCCUCCACCUCCACCACCCAACAACACACGAGAACAAUGUUUUCUGAGCUUUUCAAAAUAAAAUCCCACAGACUCAGACUGAUAAUUACUGACCAGCUCGUAAAAAUCGUGCACGGAGGUCGCUCAGUGUCAGUUUCAGUUUUAGUCUGAGGUUUGGAUGAAAUUAUCUGGAAUAUGAGGAAAUAUUUUGACCCAAACAGAAACACUUUCCUUUCUCUGGUCUUAGCCUCGCACACACUCACAUGGACAUGACAGGAAUAAAAACUGUAGGUGAAGCAGAUGUAAAGGUUUUGUUUUGUGCACAUUUGCAGAAAAAGAAACAGCAGAGAAUCCCUCCCUGUCUCUUCCUCUCUCAGACUGUAACCUGACUCUGUCACUGGGGUCAGGGAUGACGAGAAAAAUUUACAACCUGCAAUCAAUCACUAAGUGUGGGAACUGAGUGAGGACAGAGAGAUAAAGCCCUUUCAGACUCAGCACCUUGUUAUGUUCCUGUCCUGGUAAUUUUAUCUCCCUCAGUCAGAGCUCAGAAACUGUCUGUUAAUGUAGCGGCUGUAACACGUGAAACAGCUGGAAACUUUACUCAGGAAGAAAAGUGCUUCUCUCGCCGGCUGUGUCACUUUGCAGCUGAAGUCACAUAAAACAUUUCAUAACAAGCUGUUAAAUCCAGACUCUCAUUUAAGUCCUUUGCUCACACUGUGUUUAAAGUGUUUAGUUUUUCUCUGCAAAUAUGCACAAAAUAAACUCUGAGCUUCCUGAACCUGUUCAUCUACUGUCUGUAUUCCUGUUCACUUUAUUGUAAUGUUUAACGAUGGACGAGUGUCUUGAACGUCUUUAUUCUCUAUUCUUUGUUCAUAACAGGUGAUAAUUAUCUUAUAAAAACAUUAGACAGAGCUGAGCAUCUGUGUGACCAAACCUCACUGAUGAGACUAAGACAUUUUCAGUAUUUCUUAUUUUAAAAUCCAAACAUGCUACACACUCAUCACUGAGAUGUCAGAAGGUGUAAGCCAGGCUAACAGUUUCCCUCUGUUUCCAGUCUUUAUGCUAAGCUAGGCUAACCACCUCCUGACUGCAGCUCUGUGCAGACGUUAGACUGAUAUUAAUCUGAACAUCUCAGUCUCACAGCUGAUUCCUCUCUGA